rnacentral:misc_RNA from 1 species
GAGUUGAGUUGAGUUGAGUUGAACCGAAUAGUGUUCAACCUUAUAACUAAAUCACAAAAAGCAAACAACAUUAAAUGUAACUAUCAUAUAGUCUAACUAUCAUAUUCCAAAUGGAAUAUUUCCUAAAUCCUAUGUGUGAAAUUCACUAAUUGAAACAGACAAGACUCUACCUUUCUUUCUAUGGGCAGAGGUUCUUCUGUAAACAGAAUUCGUUAAGAGUAACCAAUGCAUGGUUUAUGAGAGAAUAUCUACGCGGACAAACUCGAUGUAUGUGAUAAAGCUAUAGGUCAUUUUUUGAAGUUAUCAGUGAACAUUAAUUUCCAGAGAAGCUCAUAAAAAUUAGCAGAAAAAUAAGUGCAGAGCAUAUGAUACAAAUUGGAAGUAAAAUCCUAAGCAUCUUGGUCUAGUAUUCAUGUAUUUUUAUACCUUCAAGAGUGAAUAAAAUUUUUAGAAAGAAGCAUUGUACAUAUAAGUUACAUGUGAUUAACGAACUAACCAGUGGAUGCUUGGUGGUAUAAUU